GACGAACGCUGGCGGCGUGCCUAAUACAUGCGAGUAGAACGCUGAAGGAGGAGCUUGCUUCUCUGGAUGAGUUGCGAACGGGUGAGUAACGCGUAGGUAACCUGCCUGGUAGCGGGGGAUAACUAUUGGAAACGAUAGCUAAUACCGCAUAAGAGUAGAUGUUGCAUGACAUUUGCUUAAAAGGUGCAAUUGCAUCACUACCAGAUGGACCUGCGUUGUAUUAGCUAGUUGGUGGGGUAACGGCUUACCAAGGCGACGAUACAUAGCCGACCUGAGAGGGUGAUCGGCCACACUGGGACUGAGACACGGCCCAGACUCCUACGGGAGGCAGCAGUAGGGAAUCUUCGGCAAUGGACGGAAGUCUGACCGAGCAACGCCGAGUGAGUGAAGAAGGUUUUCGGAUCGUAAAGCUCUGUUGUAAGAGAAGAACGAGUGUGAGAGUGGAAAGUUCACACUGUGACGGUAUCUUACCAGAAAGGGACGGCUAACUACGUG
rnacentral:rRNA from 1 species